UUUUGUUCCUCGUGUCGAUCACUUCACAGCAACCACCAGCUCACAGUCGUGUGUGGAUACUGUGAACAGUGUACCUCGGAGAAACUAAAGAUGCAAUUAACCAUACCAUUCAGAAAAUAAAAUAGAAAAUGAGAGAGAACGGAAUAAAAUAAGCACAUGAAUAAAUGUAUAAGUGUAAACAUCCGAUAACAUUGAAAAUGAAUUUAGAACCAAGUGACGCUGUAAAAAGUGCAAAAAGUAUCAGCAAGUUACUACAGCAUCAACAUUCGAGUGUGAAUAAAAAAGAAAAAAUCGAAAUUACGGAUAAAACCGAGGAUGAAACACAAGUCAAACAAUGAAACAUGAAAGUCAGAUCUAACUCCAAUUAAAAGAUAAAACAAAUAUAUACAAGAAAGACCAGAUAAAGAAAUAAAUCAAAAUGGCGCCAAAAAUGCCGCGAGGGACUUUAAAUGUUACAAUAUUCGUCGUCUUGUUUGUUUUCGUCAACGGGGAAGUGAUUCAUCGCUCGCGGACGCAGCUCAGCGAUUUAGCCCGGGGCGAGCGGCGUGACUCCAGCUCGGCCGAGGCCCUGACUUGGCUGAGGCAGCAGAUGGCGAUCAUUAGGGGCGAGAG
rnacentral:lncRNA from 1 species